rnacentral:lncRNA from 1 species
UGCGACUGACAUUCUGGUUAAAUGCUUACGUUUUCCUGUGUUUUCUUGUGUCGUCAUGAUUCCUGAACUGGUUUGCUUCAUUUGGUGUUCUUUUUUCUUGAAUGAUAUUGUUGGUGGUUCCAUGUUGUUUCACUCAGUGCAUCUUGUGGGUUGUUGGAUAUCCAGGAAGUCGAGAUUGGGCUUGUUGCGCGCCUCUCCGGCACUGACUGAUUACUUAGAAUGGGUUGUGAACCUUUAGUUUAAUCUUAUGGAAUUUGAUGUCUUUAGUGGAGAAAAGAGCAUUCUAUUGUCUGUGAUUAUCUUUAUGGAAGAGAAUCAGUUCCUCCCAUAUUAAACAAGUAGAAAAGGAAAACUAAAUGAGAUGACUAAAUUGAAAUAUAUCGAAGUUCCAAACAAGUGCUAAAUCUAGAAAAUAAAAAAGACCAGUUCAGUAAUAUUUACUGUGGUUCACCUCUAUGAACUGGGUUUCCCAGGAGAUGAUUAGCUUAGGAUGUCUUGGUGUCCCUUGUAAAAGUUAGUCUAAUGUAUGUUUCGUUCAAGUGAGCUCUGUUUGUUUAUCUUGUUAGUGACUUUCUCAGUUCUACUCUUUAUUGUUCUUUGAAGUGCUAGAUGCAUCUCUUCACUUUAACAAUGCUGCUGUCAUGUUGGCUUUGUAGUAGGUUGCUACUUUAAGAGAACAGCUGGAGCAGCUGGCUGAGGAGAGAACCCCAGAUGGGUUACCAAGGUCCUUCGCAUGUCCUUUGGAACUCUCUCUCAUUUACUGUUCUUGUUGAAUGAGAUGAGCAUUUCAUCUUGGAUUUUUCAUUUUUGAACAUCGGACUGCUUGUUCGACAUUUUUCAUGAGUUUUCUGGUUAUGGACACUAAGGCAUGGUCUUGUUGGCUGGAUCACAGACUGCUUGUUGUUGCCUCUUAUAUUCACUUAGUAGGACUAGCAGGAAGAAGACUUUCGCCAUUGACUGUUUAACCCAUUAAAUAUUGCAAGCUAUUUUGAAUUUUUUGUUGAUUCCCUGGUUUUAUAGAUUAUAUGGGAAGGUUUCUAAUCUGUCCAAAUCAUGGGCGACUAGAAUGACAGUUGCAGUCACACUUAUUUAUGGUUCCAGAGUUAUUGGUUCUCAGUUUAGCAACUUUCAUCUGAAGCUGCUAGCUAAAACUGUAGUUCAUAUAAGACAUGGUUCAAAUAAAUGGAUUCAAUCUGUCUCCUGAUGUUUGCUGUUGAAAACUUAAACUCUUCCUUAUUCACAGGACAUUUGUUCUCUGCUCUCGAUCGCUCCUAAUCCAGGCUUGCAAACUCUCUAGCAUUACUGUGGCUGGAGGUAAGAGUUAAUAUUUGACUCAAUGGAGCAAUAUCUUCAAUCUGCUUUUACAUAAAGAACCGUCUGCUUUUGUUUAAACUAGUAGUUAUGGAUCUUCCUCGAAGACACUUUAAUAUGUAUGGUUUCUUAUCUAGCUUCCUAGCUGAUAGUAGCCCUUUGAGGUUUGUUUUGGGAUAUGGAUCCUCUGACUAAGAAGGAUUAGUCCCUACUGAUAAAUGGCAGAAGACAUUUAGAAUUGUGGCUGUGAUGUGCAGCAUAGACUAUCGAUGAAUUCCAAUCAUUUUGUGCUUUAUACCACACGGUAAACAGUCUUUGCACUUUAUCACCUGCAGCAUCUAAGGCAUCCAUCAAAAUUGAUGUUUGAUCUUCAAGUUAAUGAAUUUUGUGCUCUUUGCACCUUUUUACUUCUACAAUACCACCAAGUUUGCACAGCUCUAUUUCAUUGAUAUAUCUUAUCCAUUAUUUUAU